GACGAACGCUGGCGGCGUGCUUAACACAUGCAAGUCGAACGGAAAGGCCCUGCUUUUGUGGGGUGCUCGAGUGGCGAACGGGUGAGUAACACGUGAGUAACCUGCCCUUGACUUUGGGAUAACUUCAGGAAACUGGGGCUAAUACCGGAUAGGAGCUCCUGCUGCAUGGUGGGGGUUGGAAAGUUUCGGCGGUUGGGGAGGGACUCGCGGCUUAUAAGCUUGUUGGUGGGGUAGUGGCUUACCAAGGCUUUGACGGGUAGCCGGCCUGAGAGGGUGACCGGCCACAUUGGGACUGAGAUACGGCCCAGACUCCUACGGGAGGCAGCAGUGGGGAAUAUUGCACAAUGGGCGGAAGCCUGAUGCAGCAACGCCGCGUGCGGGAUGACGGCCUUCGGGUUGUAAACCGCUUUCGCCUGUGACGAAGCGUGAGUGACGGUAAUGGGUAAAGAAGCACCGGCUAACUACGUG
rnacentral:rRNA from 1 species